ensembl:lncRNA
UGAUCGGAUCGGCAAAGCGUGUUUCUGGAAUAUUAUGUUUUUGUUGCUGCAAGCGCUUUUUAUGCAGUUUUUGCAAAGCUAUAUGUGGAAGAAAACCGUGACCUAGGACAAGCUGAUGGCAUAAGAUGGGAAAACUAGUACACUCUGCAGUCUUUGAUGCUAAAAUGACAUCACAGCAUUUAAACAUCUUUUGAAUGAAAACAUCAGCAUAUGAAAACAAAACUGCAGAGACACUGCAACUGCAUGAAAGAAGAGGACUAUUUAGUGAAAUUUCUACGUUUCCCUGAGGAUUAACUGCUCUGUAAUUUACCAAGAACUAAAACAAAAUGAGUGGAAGAGGAGAUGGAUCACACAAUAACCGUAAUGGCCAACAGGUUAACCCAGAAAAUCUUCCAAGCGGAGAUCAGGAACCAGCUUAUGAACCUCAUGGUGGACGCCUUGGCUUACUGAACAAUCUUUAUCGUGUUCUCUGUAAUAUUUUUUGGAGGAUGAAUGAAUUAUUAGAUGAAUUAUAUGCAUCAGAUGAUGACCUUGGCAUUGACUUUGACAAUGUCAAUGACGGCAAUGUCAACAAUGUAAACAUUCCCAAUAUUAAUGUAAGGGACAAUAAUGCCAAUGAACUGCAUGAUGAUCAAAAUGCUGUUAUUGUUGGCAUUGAAAAUGAGGAUUCUGAUGAGGCAUUUGAAGACUGUGAGGAUGUUCACCAGUACAUCCCAGAAGAGGACCCUCAGCCAGGUGUAUCCAGGAGGAGGUCUAGAGAGAUGGAUGAAGAAGAUGUGGAACCAAGCAAAAGAAUCAGAUGGAGCGAGGAGUUUUCUGAUGACGACUCUGACUUCAUCUCUGCUUGUGACACUGAUAGCGAGGGCUGUCCUCAUGUUGGUAAUAUUGCUGAUGAGGACAUCAAAGAACCGCUGCCUGGUGGAUCCACGAAAAGAUCCAGAGAGGAAGAUGUAGAUGAAGAAGACCAUAAUAGCAAAAAAUCCAGGCUUUCAAACAGUAGUGAUGAACUUUUUGAAGAUGCACUUGAAGAGCUUGACAACCAUGAAGCUGGAGGCUCGAGGAAGCGGUCCAGAGACGAUUUUGAGGAAGAAGAGGAAUAUGUGCGUGUUUGCAAAUUUCGGAGGAGUUCAAAUGAGUCCACCAGCACCAGUGAUGACAACUAACACUAUUUCGACGGGUUUUUUCAGUAUCCUUUUAGAAGGCUGAUGGCCUACUCAGCUGACUCUUAAUCUUCCUCCUAUUGUUAUGCUGCAAUAAGCUGGGCAUACACUGUGCGAUUUUUUUUCAGUUGCGUUAUUCAGCUACUGCUCAAACUGCACGAUUGACUCGCAGGGGUUCGUAGGUCACGAUGCAGGGUCUCACGCUAUACGGCCCGAUGCUCUGUGCGACCUGAGUGCUCACACUGUGCGUCCAUAGCAUGAAGGUUAUAACACAAAAUUGUACACUAUUUUCACGGUUGUUGCGGUCGUGAUAAUUUUGUGAGGCCACAUCGAAAAGGCUCGGAUGAGCUUGCCAAAGUUCUACAAGUUGUGCCUCCAUCGCUUGUGUCCUGAUCGCGCGCUGCACUGCCGUGCUGCUCCGUCUUUUCACUUUCAUUUCUGUGUUUGUGCGUGCGCAGUGUGAGACGCUGCGUUGACACCCUCACAACGGCCGACAGGAUUUCAAACAGGUUUCUCGUUAUCCGAUGUAUACGAUGCACGACACACGAUUAAGGCCAAACUCGGGCCAAUCCCCAAAACGGUCGCACAACUGAAAAAUUGGCUCAAAAUGGGCCAAAAAUCGCACAGUGUAUGCCCAGCAUUUUUUCCUUUUCACUCACCUUCUUCACCCACUGGUUUUUAAUCUCUGUCUCUCUUCCACAGCACGUCUUUAUCCUGUUUUCCUUGCCCCUCCCCAACCGGUCGCAGCAGAUGGCCGCCCCUCCCUGAGCCUGGUUCUGCUGGAGGUUUCUUCCUGUUAAAAGGGAGUUUUUCCUUCCCACUGUCGCCAAAGUGCUUGCUCAUAGGGGGUCAUUUGAUUGUUGGGGUUUUCUUUGUAAGUAUACCUUACAAUAUAAGUCACCUUGAGGUGACUGUUGCCGUGAUUUGGCAAUGUAUAAAUAAAACUGAAUUGAAUUGAAAAUUGAAUGGAUGUCACUGUGAAGGGAUAUUCCCUCCAUAGAAAGCUUAGACCCAAAUGCAGAUUCAAUGCACAUGGUUAAACUAUUUAUAAGACUUUAUUUAAACUUAUACUUUGUUUAAACUUAAACUUGUUCUUUGUAGGCCUGACACUUCUUCUUUUGUCCUUCACUUGCUGAGUUUUAAGGACACACUGCACACCAUGGGUUAAUACCAUUUUAUGCCUCUUAAACUGUGUUAUCUUUGGCAUUUUUUCAUGGAUUGUAAGUGCUUACAUAUACAAUUCCAGUUCUGUUCUAAGUUGUCUGGCAUGUGUAGACAAAACACUGGUUCACCUUGUUUAUGGUAAUCUGACUCAUAUCUCUGUGUUAAGUGGUUUAAGAAACAUAAAAAAAUUCAAUUCAAUUCAAUUCAGUUUUACUUAUUACAAUUUAUUCCAAUUAUUCCACAACUAUUUGGCUUGAUUUACUCAAAGAUUCCAAUUUGAUAUAUAAGGAAGAUCAUCAGAGGACCAUUAGCAUUACAGUUACAUUAAAGAAUAAAUAGGAAACAGGUGUGUGUGAAAGUUCUUUGUGUUUUUUAUUCCUGCUGGUCAAACAGACACUUGCUGAGAAGACUGUUGGACUGAGGAGGGAAAUGAUGAGUGUGGAGUGUAUUCAUUUUAAUAUUUGAACAUUAUUAUGGAGAAAAUGAAGAAAAUAUAAAGUCUUCAUGAGCAAGAGAGAGAUUAACAUGUGCUUGUGCAGAAUUUUUAAUUUACAGUGAAAAUGUUGAGCAAAACAAUCAACCAACUUACAAAAAAACUCAUUGGAGACUCCAUUUCUAGGAGAAAAUGCUCACUUAGAUUCAUGUGAUUUUUAUUUGACAUAGCUGAGUGUGGGAUAAAACGGGUAAUCAAGCAGUUUUGGCCAGUGUGA